GACGAACGCUGGCGGCGUGCUUAACACAUGCAAGUCGAACGGAAAGGCCCUGCUUUUGUGGGGUGCUCGAGUGGCGAACGGGUGAGUAACACGUGAGUAACCUGCCCUUGACUUUGGGAUAACUUCAGGAAACUGGGGCUAAUACCGGAUAGGAGCUCCUGCUGCAUGGUGGGGGUUGGAAAGUUUCGGCGGUUGGGGAUGGACUCGCGGCUUAUCAGCUUGUUGGUGGGGUAGUGGCUUACCAAGGCUUUGACGGGUAGCCGGCCUGAGAGGGUGACCGGCCACAUUGGGCCUGAGAUACGGCCCAGACUCCUACGGGAGGCAGCAGUGGGGAAUUUUGCACAAUGGGCGGAAGCCUGAUGCAGCAACGCCGCGUGCGGGAUGACAGCCUUCGGGUUGUAAACCGCUUUCGCCUGUGACGAAGCGUGAGUGACGGUAAUGGGUAAAGAAGCACCGGCUAACUACGUG
rnacentral:rRNA from 1 species